UACGUAGGGGGCAAGCGUUGUCCGGAUUUAUUGGGCGUAAAGCGCUCGCAGGUGGUUCGUCGCGUCGUGCGUGAAAGACCCCGGCUCAACUGGGGGGCGUCGUGCGAAACGGGCGGACUGGAGGCCAGUAGGGGGAUGCGGAAUUCCGGGCGUAGUGGUGGAAUGCGUAGAGAUCCGGAGGAACACCAGCGGCGAAGGCGGCAUCCUGGACUGGUCCUGACACUCAUGAGCGAAAGCGUGGGGAGCGAGUCCGG
rnacentral:rRNA from 1 species